UGGAAAUAAAGCGGUCGAAAGGCAAGCAUAAAUCUCAAAGUGCAACUGAACUGAACUGAACUCUAGGUUUGGAAACAGCGGAUGACAGCCAUUGUUGCGCCUUACUGAAAUAUUGUCAAAUUCAGGUCCAAGAAGAUUCUUGCUAAUUCAAAUAAAGAUCAUUUCUUGGCUAUGGCUCCUAUGAGAGAUCGACAGGGCGAGAAUCGUCAGCCUACGGUUGCAGAUUGCAGCAAAUUUCUGGCUGAUGCCUUGGAAUAUUAUCAAAGGAAAAUGAGGUCUGCUCCAUAUGUUCAUUUUCAAUUACCAGAGGAGAUUAUGCGUCACUGCCGUACGCGUCGACUACGUCCAUCAUUGGAGCAUCAACCACAACCUGAAGAUAAUGCAGACCAGCUACCACGCCAAGGUGAACCUAAUGAGCCUCUGCCUCGUCCUAUAAUCACUGAAGGGCCAGGGCCUGUAACUCGCCUUUCCCGAAGGUUACGAAAUCGAAUGCCCAGAGUAUAAAUUACUGGUGAUGCUUCUUAAUUCUUAUUGAAUCAUUCCCCAUCAGUUCAUUCCGGCGACAUUUACUUUCUCUUCCAUCCUGAAAUGCGAAUGUGUUAUAUUAUGUUGAUGUAGUGGCUAAUUCUAUGCAACAGAACUUUUUUUGCUUCAGUGUGCGCCAAGUUAUUCUAAUUUUAUAGAACUUUAAAUGCUUAAUGUGAAUAUUCCGUAGCUUCAUUUAUAUUCAGUUAAAAUUUAAAUUACAUGUCUUGGAAGCUGUGUGGCUGCAAUUAUGUGUUUUGUGAAAAGAAUAAUAUCCUGGUGAGAUUUGUUUGCACAACAUAUUCUUGCCUCCAACAUAAUGAAGGUAUUUCUUUCAAUACUGAGUAGAACUUGUGAUGCUUGUGUUUCCAUCUGAAAUUAAAAUGUCAUAAAUAUUAUCUGCAUUUUUAAUGUUGCAAAGAUUCAUUUCAUGUACACCCAUUAUUGCUACAAUUUAUUUCUAAUUAAAAAAUAAACUGUAAUUGAAUAA